GGCUCGUUGGUCUAGGGGUAUGAUUCUGCUUCGGGUGCGAGAGGUCCCGGGUUCUCCCGGACGAGCCC